ACUAAAGUAUUUUAGGGUGUACAAACAGGAAUCAUAAAAUUAUAGAUCUAGAACUGAGAGGGACCAUAGAGAUCUUCUCCAACCCCUCCAUUUUACAGAUUUGGAAUCUGAGGCCCAUAGAGGUUAACUAACAUACCCAAGGUCACAGUAGCAAGAAUUACAGAACCAGAAUUUCAACUCAGAUACUGUGACUCUAAAUCCAGUGCAUCAAGUUCAGCACUCUUCCACUUGCCCAUAUUGGAAGAAUGAAGAAAGCUCCAAGAUCCACACUAGCGAUCCUGUGGCUUUGGCUGAUCUGGGUGAAUGUCAAAGGGAACGUGGACCAGAGCCCUCCAACUUUGACCAUCCAAGAAGGAAAGAGCUGUACACUCCAUUGUAAUUAUUCAAGCCAAAGUCUGGACAGAGUAUACUGGUACAGACAGGAGGUGGGGAAAAGCCUGAAGUUUAUAUUUGCUUUGUAUUCCAAUGGAGCUGUGAAGCAGGAGGAAAGGUUAACAGCCACAUUCAACACAAGCACCCUUCACAGCUCUCUGAGUAUCAGGGGCUCCCAGCCAGAGGACUCAGGAACCUACCUCUGUGCUGCAAGCACACAGUGUCCUCUAGUCACCUGCAGUCUGUGCACAAACCAAGCAGCUAGGGUUCCAACUAUACUUCCAGACACUCUUACAUCUCUGUGA